rnacentral:lncRNA from 1 species
GCCAAUUGGGUUCAACCCUCUAAGCCUCAUGACCAGGUUCAUCUGGCUCCCCUCAUCAGGCCGGAUAUGCUACCUCUACUCCUUAGGCCGAUUCCAUUUAGGCCCUGCUCUACUCUCACUCUCCGGCCCAGCCCAAAACCCGAAAGAGGGUCCGUCCACUCAUAUUGUAGACCCGCCUAUCCGAUCCUGGAGAGGAUCAGAGGCCGUUAUGCAUGGGGCAGAGAUCUGAUUCCUUCGUACGUCCGUAUCAGCAUGGCAGGGACAGGUGGUCUACUGAUAUUCGUUCUAUCGGCACGUCACUAGCGGACAAAAGAAAACCUAUAAAAGGAGAAAUGCUCUCUUCUAGGUUUAAGCUUUUUCUCAACUUUACAGAGCCCAUUGUAAAAACCUUAUUUCUCUGGAUCUCAGAUCAUCAAUUGGUGCCGUCUGUGGGAACCGAGGGAGAUCUUUUCAUCAUUGGAGUUCCACUCUUAACAACACCCACUGAGAUCCACAAUGGCUAAUCACAACGAAAACAACCUUAACACCCCAAACGACCUAAGCUCUGCCCAAGAAGGGCAGCAGUUCUCCUUUUCUAGCCCUACAACAUUAAACAACCAAACACCCAUUCCUCUCAAUCCUUCGCCAAGCUUGACAGGGAACGCGCCCGCAGUGGCCUUGUCCAACCAAGACCUCCAAACUAUCGCAUUCCAGCUACAAAGCACCACCCACUAGUUGGGGCAGAUAAUUCAGCAAAGGGGCCUUGGCACCCCAGUGAACGCACUCCCAGUGGUAGAAGAACCCCAAACCAAUGAGCCCCAACCUACCCCUGAUCGCCUUCAAACCAGAAGCCACGACGCCGGGGUACGGGAGAGAAUAACUGGAGAAGAGGAAGAGUCGGAGGCCCGAGUCCACGGAAGAAGGGCGAGGGAGAUGAUAGAAAAUGAGGAGGCUGACAACUAUUCCGCUGAGACAACCAGGUGGACCAGGAGUGAAGCAGAGGAAGAGGAGUAUCACCUGGAGAAAAAACCCAGGUCGGAAGAUGAAGAUGUGGACCAAAAACUGCAGAAGUUGAGAGAGCAGCUUUUGGUCGAGCUGGGAAAGAAAGAUCAAAGCCAAACCUUCCUGCCCACUUCUUCGCCUUUCUCGAAGUGGGUGCAGCAGGAAACUGUCCCUAAGAAGUUUAUGAUGCCGUCCAUGGCAGCCUACGACGGAGCUGGUAACCCAAGGGAGCAUGUCAUGAAUGACAAGACCUUUAUGGAAUUACAAACUUUAUCGGAUGCCUUGAUGUGCAAGGUAUUCCCAACGACACUUUCAGGGCCAGCGCGAGCAUGGUUCAACAGCCUGGAGACUGGAAGCAUUGGAAGUUUUGGAGAUUUAGCCACUCGUUUCAUUAGCCGGUUCAUCGCCGGGGUACCAGCGGAUAGGAAGACGAGUUAUCUGGAAACAGUAAGGCAAAGACGAGAGGAAUCGCUUAGAGAGUACGUAGCUCGUUUCAAUAUAGAAGCCCUGCAGAUUCCCGAGCUCGAUGAAGGAAGGGCGGUGGAGGCCAUGCAGAAAGGGACGACCUCCGCUGAAUUUUUUGGUUCAUUAAGCAGGAAGCCUCCGACCUCACUGGCUGAACUAAUGAAGAGGGCUGAGAAGUAUAUAAGACAGGAUGACGCUCUCGUGACAAGCCGAUUCGCCAAGGGAACGGCAGGCAAGGAGAGAGCCCCGGAGGAAAGGAGGCCGGAGAAGCAUGAAAAGAAACAUGGCAAAAGGUCUGAGCCUUAUAGACAGCCUUGGGAGCGAAGGGACCAAAGACCUUUUCCCCCACGGUCCUCAGAACAAAGGCCACUUCCUUCAUGGGUUCCAGAGAAGCCAACCCCACUUAACGCCUCUAGAGCCGAAGUGCUCGUAGCCGUCCAGGACAAAGAAUUCUUGCAAUGGCCCAAGCCCCUGAAAGCGGAAGCCGACCAGCGAAAUCCCGACAAAUAUUGUCAGUUCCACCGAACUCAUGGUCAUGACACCAAUAACUGUUUCCAGUUGAUUGCAGAAAUUGAGAGGUUGAUCAAGAGAGGGCACCUAAAGAACUUUGUAAAGAAAUCGGAAGGACAGAGACCUCAACUCAAUCCGACAGCUCAAACGCCAAGAAGAACAGGAGCUAACGCUGUGAAUGAUGGGUCCAGUGGAACUAUCAACAUGAUCGUAGGAGGCACGGGAGGUCGGAUGAGCCGAAUGGGGAAAAAGAGAAGCAGAGAAGGAGAAACUAGCAGUACCGAGGUCAUGCAAAUCGUUGAACACUCUUCAACAGCCAUCACUUUCUCCUCGGAGGAUGCUCAGGGUGUUCAGAUGCCUCAUGAUGACGCCCUUGUCAUUGAAGCUGUUAUUCACAAUUAUCGGGUAAAGAAAAUCUUGGUGGAUGACGGAAGCAAGGUAAACCUGUUGCCUUAUCGAGUCUUCCAGCAGAUGGGCAUUCUGGAGGAGCAACUAGUUUGGGAUCAAGCCCCGAUUAAAGGGAUUGGAGGAGCACCAGUAACAGUGGAAGGGAAAGUAAAGCUAGCCCUUACUUUGGGAGAGGCCCCGAGGGCUCGCACCUAUUAUGCGGUGUUCUUGGUGGCUAAACUCCCUCUGAGCUACAAUGCGAUUCUGGGACGACCUGUGCUGUUCGAUUUUGAAGCUGUCACCAGUAUCAGAUACUUGGCAAUGAAAUUCUCCACAGAAGCAGGGGUGGCAACAGUUAGGGGAAGUCAAGAGGAAGCAAGGGCAGUGUACCUGGCUACCGUAACAGAGCCGAGCUUAACAGAAGAAAAGAUGGAUCCAGAAGUCUUGGAGGUCCGAGAUGAGAAAACAGAAGCCAGAAUAGAGCUGGUGGGGGAACUAGAGACCUUCUCCUUAUCAGAAACGGAAACAGACAAAACCUUCAGUCUCAACGCCGGCCUCACCAAGGAGCAGAAAGCCGAAGUGAUGUCCUUGAUUCGAGGUCAUGCAUCAAGCUUCGCCUGGAAGCCUUCGGACAUGCCCGGAAUUGACCCCGGGGUGAUGACCCAUAGACUGAAUGUCCUCCCUGAAGCCAGACCAGUAAAGCAGAAAAAGAGGGUAGUAGGAAGGGAAAAGCAGUAGGCCACCAAGGAGGAAGUACAGAAGCUAGAGGAGGCAGGCUUUAUUAGAGAAGUUAUGUACCCACAGUGGUUAGCCAAUCCUGUAUUAGUCAAAAAAGCCAAUGGCAAAUAUAGGAUGUGCAUAGACUUUACUGAUCUGAAUAAGGCCUGCCCUAAAUAUUGUUAUCCCCUCCCUGAUAUUAAUAAAAUGGUCGACUCUACGGCCGGUUUUGAUUACAUGUCGUCUUUAGAUGCAAUGUCUGGUUAUCACCAAAUCCCAAUGUAUAGGUCGGAUGAAGAAAAAACCUCGUUCAUAACGGAAGAUGGGACUUAUUGCUAUAAAGCCAUGCCUUUCGGAUUGAAAAACGCCGGGGCAACUUACCAAAGACUGAUGAACAAAAUCUUCAAAGAGCAGAUCGGCAGGAACGUAGAAGUUUAUGUAGACGAUAUGGUGGUCAAGAGCCUAACUUUCCAACAGCACGUGGCAGAUCUGAAGGAGGUGUUUGGAGUAUUAGAUCAGUACAGAAUGAAGUUGAAUCCGGCAAAGUGCGCCUUUUUCAUCAGAGGAGGAAAAUUCUUGGGAUACAUGGUGAGUGGGAAAGGCAUCGAGCCCAAUCCGGAGAAAGUAGAGGCCAUAUUAAAUAUGUCAGAACCAACCUGCAUAAGGGACGUCCAGAAACUGAUAGGGAGAGUAGUGGCACUCAAUCGAUUCAUGUCACGGUCGGCGGAAAAAUGUUUACCGUUCUUCAGAAAAUUGAGGAAAGUGCCAAACUUCGAAUGGACAGAAGAUUGUCGUGAAGCCUUCAAAGAACUCAAAAGUUAUCUCAGCUCGCCCCGUGUGCUCAGCAGCCCCGUAGAAGGUGAAGAACUUCUGAUAUACUUGGCAGCCUCUGAACAAGCAGUUAGUGCCGUAUUGGUAAGGGUGGAAGAAGGGGAACAGAAGCCUGUUUUCUAUGUCAGCAAGGUGCUUAAAGAUGCCGAGGUCCGAUAUAUGAACAUUGAAAAAAUAGCAUAUGCUCUAUUGUUGGCAGUCCGGAAGUUCAGGGUUUACCUAGAAAGCCACCAAGGAGUAGUGAUGACGGAUCAACCAUUGAAGAAGAUUCUGCAUAGACCAGAGACUUCAGGUCGGAUGCUCGUAUGGUCCCUCGAGAUUAGCCCAUACUGCCUGGAGUACCGACCUCGAACAGCUAUAAAAUCUCAAGCCCUUGCCGAUUUCAUAGCAGAAUGCACGUUCAGUAAGGAACAAAGGGAAUCAUCUUCCGAAGCAUCGAGAAUGGAGAAGAAGGAAGAACCUUUCCAAAAGCUCAAUUGGAAGUUAUACGUAGACGGGGCUUCAGGCGCUGGAGGCAGCGGUGUAGGAAUCAUGCUUAAGGGGCCUGGAGACUUUAAGGUUUGCUACACCCUGCGCUUAGAAUUCCAGGCUUCCAAUAAUGCGGCGGAGUAUGAAGCCCUAAUAAACGGAAUGAUGGUGGCAAUGGAGGUAGGGGCAACCGACCUCGAAGUAAAUAGCGACUCACAACUGGUGAUCAAUCAGGUUACUAGGGUAUAUCAGGCUAGGGAUCCAACCAUGCAGAGUUACCUGGCAAAAGUAAAAGCAAUAGAGGCCGAGUUCAUAGAUCAGGGAGUUGCCAUCAAAUUCCAAAGAAUACCACGAGAAGAGAACGAGGAAGCCGACCUGCUCAGUCGAUUGUCCAAAGAAGAACUAGAACAGCUCCCUGAUGAAGUAUACAUACAACACGUUCUCAUGCCUGCUUUUAGUAAAACUAACACGGUGUUGCAGGUGGAACAAAGCCCAACUUGGAUGACCCCAUACCUAGAGUACCUGGAGAAGGGAAAACUCCCUGAGGAUAAAGAAGAAGCCAAGAAGAUAGCAACUCGUGCUGCCAACUACCAAGCAGUAAGAGGGACCUUGUACAGAAAAGGCAAGUCCAGUCCAUGGCUCCGGUGUGUGAGCCCGGAGGAGGCUAUAAGGGUGAUGGAAGAGAUACACAAGGGAGAAUGUGGAGCUCACGAAGGGGCAGAGACGUUAGCCCAUAAAAUAUUCAGGCAAGGAUUCUACUGGCCCACCGUUAAAAGGGAAGCGGAAGAGUUCAUCCGAAGGUGUGACGUAUGCCAAAGAUUCGCUAACACCAUAAAGGUUCCAGCCACUCCACAAGCCAGCAUAUCCAGCCCAUGGCCGUUCUCACAAUGGGGAAUAGACAUCCUGGGACCUUUCCCCAAGACCACGGGGCAGAAAAAGUUCGUAGUAGUGGCUGUAGAAUACUUCUCAAAAUGGCCAGAGGCAGAAGCAAUAGCCACAAUCACAGCUCGUAAGAUGAUAGACUUUGUAUGGGGAAACAUCAUCUGCAGAUUUGGUAUACCAAGAGUGCUUAUCUCAGACAACGGCAGACAGUUCGAUUGUAAUACCUUCAAAGUAUUUACAGCAAAUAUGGGCAUAUGGCACAAAUUCUCUCCCGUGGCCCAUCCCCAGACUAAUGGCCAAACAGAGGUUACUAAUAGGGCUAUCCUCCAGGGAUUAAAGAAGCGGCUGGAUGGGGCAAAAGCAAAUUGGGCAGAAGAGCUCAACAGCAUUCUAUGGGCACUGCGAACUACCCCCAGAACAUCCACUAAGGAAAUGCCUUUUGCACUCGCAUUCGGUACUGAGGCCAUAGUCCCAGUCGAGCUACAAGUUCCUACACAUCGAGUCCAAUUCGUCAGUGAGAACACUAAUGAUGAUAAGUUAAGGAGCAACCUAGAUGCUCUUGAAGAAAUUAGAGAAGAGGCUCAAAUCCGAACUGCCGCUUAUCAGCAGCGGGCAGCACAAUAUUACAACCAAAAGGUCAGAGAAAGAAACUUAAAAGUAGGAGACCUAGCCUUGAGAAACCUGGAGGCUACGGGAAAAAGAGCGGCGGUAGGCAAGUUGGCACCGACCUGGGAAGGCCCAUUCCGGGUAACAAAAGUAGUCAAACCAGGAGUAUAUCGAAUUGAAGAUAUGAAGGGAAACCCCGAGCCCCAUGCUUGGAAUAUCCAACACUUGAAGAGGUAUUUCCCUUGAAACAUUUGUAAAGAACAAUGUUAUUAUACUUUGAAAAACACAACUGAACAAAAUGAUGACAUUCUUUAUACGAUACUGUCAUUUCUAUUAUGAAUGUCACUUUUCAAAAAGAAAAACAGCACAUGAAGACCGGGAUCCCCUAGAACUCCCUGGAAAACAAAACAAAAACGGCCGGUGAGGAUCUUAAAAGACCUCUCGGAGCAUGAAGACCGGGAUCCCCUAGAACUCCCGGGAAAACAAAGAAGACCGGGAUCCCUUAAGAACUCCNNNNNNNNNNNNNNNNNNNNNNNNNNNNNNNNNNNNNNNNNNNNNNNNNNNNNNNNNNNNNNNNNNNNNNNNNNNNNNNNNNNNNNNNNNNNNNNNNNNNNNNNNNNNNNNNNNNNNNNNNNNNNNNNNNNNNNNNNNNNNNNNNNNNNNNNNNNNNNNNNNNNNNNNNNNNNNNNNNNNNNNNNNNNNNNNNNNNNNNNNNNNNNNNNNNNNNNNNNNNNNNNNNNNNNNNNNNNNNNNNNNNNNNNNNNNNNNNNNNNNNNNNNNNNNNNNNNNNNNNNNNNNNNNNNNNNNNNNNNNNNNNNNNNNNNNNNNNNNNNNNNNNNNNNNNNNNNNNNNNNNNNNNNNNNNNNNNNNNNNNNNNNNNNNNNNNNNNNNNNNNNNNNNNNNNNNNNNNNNNNNNNNNNNNNNNNNNNNNNNNNNNNNNNNNNNNNNNNNNNNNNNNNNNNNNNNNNNNNNNNNNNNNNNNNNNNNNNNNNNNNNNNNNNNNNNNNNNNGGAUCCCCUAGAACUCCCGGGAAAACAAAGAAGACCGGGAUCCCCUAGAACUCUCAGGAAAACAAAGAAGACCGGGAUCCCCUAGAACUUCCGGGAAAACAAAGAAGACAAAUCCUAAGUUACUAAUGAAAAAUCAAAUUCCGACCUCCCAGAAUAGCUCGGGGCAAAAUAGCCAAGAGCGUCAUAGCCCCAGGCCAAUCUCCAAAAAGCGAGCUCGGCACAACAUUAACCUCACUAAUCAACUUCUAGUGCUGAGUUCGCUAGCCUAGAAAGAGGUCCGAACUGCAACACGUCCGGGCAAUACUCAGAAGUAUAGGACGAGCUGCAGAUUGCAGGAAUAAAAGCCUAAAGCAAAAAGCAAAGAACCGAUCUCCUAGCCCGGAUAGUUUCGCAAUAUGUGACAUUCAGAAGGAUGGAUACAGGCAAAAGAGUGCGUUCCUAGUUCAAGCCAAUUGGUCAUAAGCAGACAUUUCACAAGAACAACCCAAACAAGAAGCAAAAACGACAAAAGCCGACCUCCCCGUGGAACACACAGAUAGGAAAGCGCCAGAUAGCUGAUCUCACAACCAAAAAAGGCAAAAUAAAACCGCCUAAGGGAAGGCCAUGCGAGCGCAAAUAAAAUACAGAAAUUUACUUCCUCACUACUUAUGUAAUAAAUAUUGCGGAAGUAAAGGGGCAAUCCGAGGAAAAUUUAGCAUCAAACAGAGAAUACCUCAGCUACAAUCAGCCCUGUUAUUUACCAUUCAAAGGUAUGCGAUCUGAAGUUUCUUAGUGAAAUAUCUCAGUCAAACAUAAAUUACGAGAUAUGAAGGUUAAGUGCUCCAAUUACGAUAAGAAAAGAUAAGUUCAAGAAGAAAAUAAAAGCAACAAUAGUUCAAGUAAAAGAAAGUAAACUCUCAUUAGAAGGAGAAGAUAGUACAACUUAUUUAUCUGAUACAUUUGAAGGAAAAACAGUCCUCAAAGGACUUACAUCUCUCAGAAUACCAUCACCUAUAGUAUCUCUAUCCACAUUUACAUCCAGAGGAGAUCUGGCACCCUCCAACCCUGGGUCAGGGCCUCCCGUCUCAGGCUCGAGGCCUUCGCCUUCAGUCCCGGAGUCCUCCAUAUUGUCCCCCUGUUGCUCGGACUCUUCUCCAGGAAACCCAGCCGCAAUGCGAGAGGUCCCCCUAGGCAAGGGGAAAUCAUCCUCCCUAUACAGAACCUCUUCUCCAUCAUAAUCCAUUUCUCUAGCUAGAAGUUUUGUUAGAGGAGUAUCAGGAGCACGUUUGGCUUCCCUUAAACCCCUAUUAUAGCCAGAUCUAAACAUACGAAAGGCUUUCUUCCAAAUAGCAGUCUUCAUCUCCUCGAAGGCUUUAUACUCAUCCAGAUGCACCUCGCAGGCCUCAGCUAUAACCGCCUUCAAUUCAGAAGAAUCCUUAUAGUCUUGGAGGUGAGCUUCAUAGGCCUGCUCAAUCUUUCCUUUCAGCUCCUCCGACUCCUGAUACUCCUCCAGCCGCCUCUCACAUUCACGCUGGAUCUUCUCCUCGAAAUGUUUAACCACCUUGAGCAGGGCUGAACAUUUACGCUCUGCAGCCCUAACUUCAUGGCUAAGCUGUUGGUUGCGAAGCGUAGACUCCUCGGCCAAUGAAACCAGGUCUCUGAUACGCGCAGAACUCGUGCUCAACUCCUGCUCAAGGACCUCCACCCGAACCAAGGCCCUCUCUUUUUGAAUAUUCACCUUAUUUAGGUGAACCUGAAGCCCUUCAAAAUCAGCCUUCAAGGCCUCAUACUGGCGCUGGACUUCCUCCUUCUGGCUUAUCGCCUCAUCCCUUUCACGAAGGGUCUCCACCAGGGAGGACAGCUGCUUCAAAACUUCUUCACUUCGAAUCUCUGCUGCAGCCGCCCUCUCAUCAGACUCCUUGAGAACCUUGCGAGUAUGAGACAACUCUGCCUCCAGGGACUUAGUAUGCUCUUGUGCCUCAGCCGUUCUCUCGUCGGCUCUUUUGAGGGCUUCCAAGGUAGAAUGCAGCUUCGCUUGAAGGGACUCAGUAUGAGCUCGAGCUGCGGCAAGAUUGCCCCUGGCAUCACCAGUGGCAGACAAAUUCUCCUCCAGGCGCGCCUCUUCUACUCGGCGGUCCACAGAUUCCCGGAGAGAGUGAUCGCGGGCAUCCACUUCCAUGAAGAGGCCCAUCACCUAAAACAAAGGAAAAAAACUGUUAAAACAAAGACACCCAGAAUAAAAGCAGAGGAGGUAGUUUAGCUUACCAUCAGGAGCAUCUCCCUGAUCGUAUCUCCGAGCUCCUCGCGAGGUCGGGAGCGGAACGCUGCUUGCUCCCUAGUAGAGCUAGCCAAAAGACUAGUGAGAGCAAGCAAGCGUGGAUCCGAAGCUUCCAAGAUGCCACCAAACAUCCGUUCCUUGACAAUCUCAGCAACCACGCUAGCUGGGGACUGAGGAGUGAUAUCCUUUGCGUUCAGAAUGUCGUUAUCAGGAGCCGACAGCAGUGGUAUCACAGGGACUUCUUUCUCUUUUCCAAUGGGAGGGAGAGCUGGAGCUGAUCCCUUAACAACCUUGGAUCUCUUUUGAGCUGGAGCUGGGGAUGGCACCUCGAGGGAGGCAGGACGUUUGUCCCCUACCUUCUCUAUGACAUCCUCGUCCUUGGCAAGGUCAGACCUCGCCUCCUUAGGGGCAUCCCUGGUAGGAACCUCUGGAGCACUAUCGUUAACAAGAACGAUCUCCAGUCCUGUCCCAGGAGCCUCCUCUUCAAUAAUAGGGGAUUCAAGCCUCCCCCCUGGUGCCUCCUCAACAAAAGGAGCAAGAUCCGUCCUCAUCUGUCCAAUAUCCACAGCCUGCUUCACAACAGUUAGGGGAGCUCCUUCCACAUCCUCUGUAGAACCCUGACCAGAUUUAGCCUCCUCAAUAGGUUUCAAGGCAGAGGCCGACCUACCCUGACGAGAUGAUCGAGAAGGUCUGGCAGCAUGGGAGCUCGACUUUGGAGCCCGAGAAGGAGCUCUAGCUAGAGGCCGGUUAACCUUCUUGGUAGAAACAACCCGGGCCACCUCUGCAGCGACCUCAGGAACGGGGCGCCCAGCCAGAAGAGCAUCUAAAGCAGCGUUCAUGCUCUCCCGAGAUAGAACUAAGUUCUUCGGAGGCUUGAUCUCAUCCAUUUUAACGUUCGAAGCUGCCAAAAAACACAAAGUCAGAAAGAGUUAGCGUACUUUCUAAUAUCACUUACGAAGAAAAGCGGAGUUGCUAAGCAAGGCAUUAUACCCGUGUCCCGGAUAUCCCUAAGAUUAGACACGAACAUACACCUCUCGACGUCAUACUUCUUGUCGACAGAAGUCAGUCGGAGAUACCCCACCUGCUCGGUGAGGCUUAGUUGGGGCAGGUCGUUGAUGCCCGGAGGGACAUCCUCACAGUCUAGCCCCACUCCCCAUGACACGCCAACAUCUUUUCUCAGCUCCGCCACAAGGAAAUUCUCUACCCAUCCCUUUAUUGAAUCCUUGUAGCCCGUGAAAAGAGACAAUCCACCACGGGGAGAAAAAUAGUAAAAUUUCUGAGUUGCCCUAACAAGGCGGAAGAAAGUGACAAACAGACACGCUGUGGGUGUAAAACCCCAACUCAGGCAAAUGGAUUCAAAACAAGCCAUAAACAAAAUAGAGUUCGGGGACAACAUCCGGGGGGUUAUCCCAAAAUAUUGAAAAACCUCGAUGAAGAAAGGGGUAAAGGGGAAGGUCAGACCGAAAUCCCUCUGUUUAAGAAAGAAGACUAUGCAAAGACCCCUCUGGGGAUCUACCAAACCAGGAGGGGCAGGUUUUGGAAGAACUAUCCUUUCAUUCCGGAAAGGAGCGCGAAUAAGGUAAAGAGGAGUAUCUAAAUAACUCCGAGAAAUAUACUUGGUUAUGGAGGAAGGAGUAAUGUGCGACUCGAGAUUGACAACAUCGGGAAGUUUAGAAUCCUCCAUGGAAAAGUAAAAGAGCGUACCUGAAAAGCAAUAAGGUUGAGAAGGCAGAAGAAGUCGAAGGAAAACAGAGAGCAGACGAGAACAAGUUUCUUCGAGAGACAAAGAGAAUUCGGAAGGAAAGGCAAUAAUGAAACGCAAUGUCACUCUGAACAGUUUUAUCUUGGAGCGGCGCAGUCAUUAAUUACUUUCGAAGUUUACCCCCUCCUCAGUUAUACAAUAACUGACGCGAAGGUAAAGGGGCAAUAAUCGAAGGUAAAGGGGCAAUAACCGACGGCCGCUGGACUUCGCCACCUCUAUUAAGGGUUGGGCCCACGGCAAUAGCCCAUCACCCGAAAGCAAUUGACGGACAGGCCCAAAAGCCCACAUGCCAUCUGCAUAAGACAAAUCCAACUCGCUCAAACCGUAAGACCGGGCUCCACUUGGACCUCUCACCCGACGAUAAAGACCAGCCCUGCUUAUUACCUAAGAAGGUCAGGAGCUCGGCUCACAGGAUUAAAACAGAGCUCACGUGUACGACUAGUCAGACACAUAACAGAUGAAAGCACGAUAAAGACCAGCCUUGCUUAUUACCUAAGAAGGUCAGGAGCUCGGCUCACAGGAUUAAAACAGAGCUCGCGUGUACGACUAGUCCAGCUCGGAAAGAAGUAAGUCAAAAGCUUAGUUGGCCGGAUAAACUCUAGUUCUAAACGAUUAAAGGGGCAAGAAGGAGAAAGCAAUACGGCAGAUCCCUUGGGAAAAGUUAUGGAGUAAGCAAUCUAAGUACUUCAGUUAUGAUAAAGAAAGAACAGUUCAAGUAUGAACGCAAAAUAAAAAUUUCAUUAAAAGAAAAACACAUUACAGCAUGUCACAAAUACCAACACUACGGACUAAAAGGCUAUCCUUAAAAGAUUUACACGCCCAGAUACAUCAUCAUCUACGUUUACAUCACUAUCGCCUACCCUACUAUCUUAGCUUGUGGUUCCAAGGAAUUCUUAUAGUUCGGAAAAUCGACUUCGUAAACCAACUAAGCUCCGCCUCAAGAUGUGAUUUGCGGUACAUACGAACGAGCUCAGAUAUUAUAUGCCGAUCUCAUGAAAAACAUAAGUCUUCGAGUUAAAGUCCCAGGGAGAUCGGCACCAUCACCCGUCCACCUGCCCGAAGCACCAACAAAAAACCAGCAAGGUAUUCUGAAGGGCAAUGGAACAAGUGAAGGCAACACCAGAAAAUUAGCGAAACAUUCUGAAGAGCAAUGGAACAAGUUGAACUUCCAACAUUGUAAAACAUAUGCGGAAAGACAUCAUCAGGAGAUAGGGCAAACUUUAAUCCUGUUGACAUGAAAUUCGCGAUCGAUCUCAAAGUCCGAGAGGACCUAAAAGUUCGAACAAUCGAAACAAUUAAGACUGACUCGACACAGGUGUACAGUCUUGAAGAUUCGAAGCCUCGAGAGCUCGGCAUGGAGGCCCGAGCUGGAGCAAGGGAAGAGCAAACCAUCGAGAAGAGAAAUCUUGCUGUUUUGCUAACAAUCCCAAAGAUAAGAAGGAAAGGUUAGUAAUAUAUAAUCAGAGGCUAACCCUUUAAUGUGAGACAGAGCGACUUCAUACUCUAGGUCAGUAGCAUCAGAAUCCUUACAGGUUAUUCACCAAAAAGGAAAGAAAAUGUACCGGGAAGAUAAAAGUAAGAAAACAAGGGUAACAGCACGUACAAAUGGCAGAGGAAAGCUAAAUAUAGAAAAAGGCAGAGAAGAUUUAAAGCUGCAAGUGGCAAUAAGAUGAAAGGGCAAGCCGAAUUUCAACAGACGCAGUCAUAAUGAUUCUAGGGGUUUACCCCCUCGACAGUUGGAGCAAUAACUGCCGAGAAGGUAAAGGGGCAAUUGAUGACCCCUGAGUUCACCUCAUCCCCGUCUAGGGCUAGGCCCAUGAAAAUAGCCCACUGCCCAGAGAUCCUCAAGCCAUCCACGCCAAUUGGGUUCAACCCACUAAGCCUCAUGACCAGGUUCAUCUGGCUCCCCUCAUCAGGCCGGAUACGCUAUUCCUUAGGCCGAUUCCAUUUAGGCCCUGCUCUACUCUCACUCUCCGGCCCAGCCCAAAACCCGAAAGAGGGUCCGUCCACUCAUCUUGUAGACCCGCCUACCCGAUCCUGGAGAGGAUCAGAGGCCGUUAUGCAUGGGGCAGAGAUCUGAUUCCUUCGUACGUCCGUAUCAGCGUGGCAGGGACAGGUGGUCUACUGAUAUUCGUUCUAUCGGCACGUCACUAGCGGACAAAAGGAAACCUAUAAAAGGAGAAAUGCUCUCUUCUAGGUUUAAGCUUUUUCUCAACUUUACAGAGCCCAUUGUAAAAACCCUAUUUCUCUGGAUCUCAGAUCAUCAAUAGCUAUUAAUUAAUCAUGAUAGAUCUUAUGUAAGUCCUCUAAUCAUUAUAUACAUAAUGGUUGUAUGAUAAAAUUUAUUUUGAAAUCGGCUCAAUUAUUAAUGAUACAACUCUUUUCUUGGAUUUGGUAUCAGGAGCUCCAUGUCCAUCUCCAUGCUGGUAUACACAUUGAGAAAUCCUAGCAAGAUUAAUAGAUGCUUCAAUGAAAGGCUUCNNN